rnacentral:rRNA from 1 species
ACUCCUACGGGAGGCAGCAGUGGGGAAUAUUGCACAAUGGGGAAAGCCCUGAUGCAGCCAUGCCGCGUGUGUGAAGAAGGCCUUCGGGUUGUAAAGCACUUUCAGCGAGGAGGAAAGGGUGUAAGUUAAUACCUUACAUCUGUGACGUUACUCGCAGAAGAAGCACCGGCUAACUCCGUGCCAGCAGCCGCGGUAAUACGGAGGGUGCGAGCGUUAAUCGGAAUUACUGGGCGUAAAGCGUGCGCAGGCGGUUUGUUAAGCGAGAUGUGAAAGCCCCGGGCUGCAACCUGGGAAGCCGCAUUUCGAACUUGGCAACUAGAGUCAUUGUAGUAGGGGGUGGAGAAAUUCCAGGUGUAGCGGUGAAAUGCGUAGAGAUCUGGAGGAAUACCGGUGGCGAAGGCGGCCCCUCGGACAAAGACUGACGCUCAGGCACGAAAGCGUGGGGAGCAAACAGGAUUAGAUACCCUGGUAGGU